rnacentral:rRNA from 1 species
GAGUUUGAUCCUGGCUCAGAAUCAACGCUGGCGGCGUGCCUAACACAUGCAAGUCGAACGCGAAAGCCCCGCAAGGGGUAAGUAGAGUGGCAAACGGGUGAGUAACACGUGGGUGACCUGCCUUCGAGUGGGGGAUAACGUCCCGAAAGGGACGCUAAUACCGCAUGACAUCCUGCCUUUGAAGAGGUGGUGAUCAAAGCUGGGGAUCGCAAGACCUAGCGCUGGAAGAGGGGCCCGCGUCCGAUUAGCUAGUUGGUGGGGUAAUGGCUCACCAAGGCAACGAUCGGUAGCCGGCCUGAGAGGGCGGACGGCCACACUGGGACUGAGACACGGCCCAGACUCCUACGGGAGGCAGCAGUGGGGAAUUGUUCGCAAUGGGCGCAAGCCUGACGACGCAACGCCGCGUGGAGGAUGAAGAUCUUCGGGUCGUAAACUCCUUUCGAUCGAGACGAAUUCCCUUGGGGUGAACAAUCCCGAGGGUUGACGGUACCGAGAGAAGAAGCCCCGGCUAACUCCGUGCCAGCAGCCGCGGUAAUACGGGGGGGCAAGCGUUGUUCGGAAUUACUGGGCGUAAAGGGCUCGUAGGUGGCCAACUAAGUCAGACGUGAAAUCCCUCGGCUUAACCGGGGAACUGCGUCUGAUACUGGAUGGCUUGAGUUUGGGAGAGGGAUGCGGAAUUCCAGGUGUAGCGGUGAAAUGCGUAGAUAUCUGGAGGAACACCGGUGGCGAAGGCGGCAUCCUGGACCAACACUGACGCUGAGGAGCGAAAGCCAGGGGAGCAAACGGGAUUAGAUACCCCGGUAGUCCUGGCCCUAAACGAUGAAUGCUUGGUGUGGCGGGUAUCGAUCCCUGCCGUGCCGAAGCUAACGCAUUAAGCAUUC